rnacentral:tRNA from 1 species
GACCCCGUAGCGCAGAGGCAGGCGCACCGUCUUGUCAGGACGGACACGCCGGUUCGAAUCCGGCCGGGGUCG